GGAAUCAACGCUGGCGGCGUGCCUAACACAUGCAAGUCGAACGCGGUUAUUCAGCAAUGGAUAACUGAGUGGCGAACGGGUGAGUAACACGUGGGUGACCUACCUUCGAGUGGGGGAUAACGUCCCGAAAGGGACGCUAAUACCGCAUAACAUCCUGCCUUUGAACAGGCGGAGAUCAAAGCCGGGAUCGCAAGACCUGGCGUUUGAAGAGGGGCCCGCGUCCGAUUAGCUAGUUGGUGAGGUAACGGCCCACCAAGGCAACGAUC
rnacentral:rRNA from 1 species